rnacentral:rRNA from 1 species
UACGUAGGGGGGCAAGCGUUGUCCGGAAUCAUUGGGCGUAAAGCGCGUGUAGGCGGCUCGGUAAGUCCGCUCUGAAAGUCCAGGGCUCAACCCUGGGAUGCGGGUGGAUACUGCCGAGCUCGAGUCCGGAAGAGGCGAGUGGAAUUCCUGGUGUAGCGGUGAAAUGCGCAGAUAUCAGGAGGAACACCGGUGGCGAAGGCGGAUCUCUGGGCCAUUACUGACGCUGAGGAGCGAAAGCGUGGGGAGCGAACAGG